rnacentral:rRNA from 1 species
UGGGCAACCUGCCCUCAGCUAUGGGAUAACUCCAAGAAAUUGGUGCUAAUACCCGGAUGUGACCGCUGACCGCAUGGUCUGGUGGUGGAAAGAUUCAUCGGCUGAGGAUGGGCCCGCGGCCUAUCAGCUUGUUGGUGGGGUGAUGGCCCACCAAGGCGACGACGGGUAGCCGGCCUGAGAGGGUGACCGGCCACACUGGGACUGAGACACGGCCCAGACUCCGUAGGGAGG